UGCCUAACACAUGCAAGUCGAACGGCAGCACAGGUAGCAAUACCGGGUGGCGAGUGGCGGACGGGUGAGUAAAGCAUCGGGAUCUACCCUGACGUGGGGGAUAACCUCGGGAAACCGGGACUAAUACCGCAUACGUCCUACGGGAGAAAGCGGGGGACCUUCGGGCCUCGCGCGGCAGGACGAACCGAUGUGCGAUUAGCUAGUUGGCGGGGUAACGGCCCACCAAGGCGACGAUCGCUAGCUGGUCUGAGAGGAUGAUCAGCCACACUGGGACUGAGACACGGCCCAGACUCCUACGGGAGGCAGCAGUGGGGAAUAUUGGACAAUGGGCGAAAGCCUGAUCCAGCCAUGCCGCGUGCAGGAUGAAGGCCUUCGGGUUGUAAACUGC
rnacentral:rRNA from 1 species